AGCGAACGCUGGCGGCAGGCCUAACACAUGCAAGUCGAACGAACCCUUCGGGGUUAGUGGCGGACGGGUGAGUAACACGUGGGAACGUGCCUUUAGGUUCGGAAUAACUUAGGGAAACUCGUGCUAAUACCGAAUGUGCCCUUCGGGGGCAAGAUUUAUCGCCUUUAGAGCGGCCCGCGUCUGAUUAGCUAGUUGGUGAGGUAAAGGCUCACCAAGGCUACGAUCAGUAGCUGGUCUGGAAGAAUGACCAGCCAGAUUGGGACUGAGACACGGCCCAAACUCCUACGGGAGGCAGCAGUGGGGAAGCUUGCGCAAUGGGCGAAAGCCUGACGCAGCCAUGCCGCGUGGAUGAUGAAGGUCUUAGGAUUGUAAAAUCCUUUCACCGGUGAAGAUAAUGACUGUAGCCGGAGAAGAAGCCCCGGCUAACUUCGUGCCAGCAGCCGCGGUAACAC
rnacentral:rRNA from 1 species